CCCUGGCUCAGGACGAACGCUGGCGGCGUGCCUAAUACAUGCAAGUCGAGCGGAGUUAAUUGAAAGCUUGCUUUYAAUUAAGUUAGCGGCGGACGGGUGAGUAACACGUGGGUAACCUGCCUUUAAGACUGGGAUAACAUUCGGAAACGGAUGCUAAUACCGGAUAGGCGAUUUGGUCGCAUGAUCGAAUCGAGAAAGAUGGAGCAAUCUAUCACUUAGAGAUGGACCCGCGGCGCAUUAGCUAGUUGGUGAGGUAACGGCUCACCAAGGCGACGAUGCGUAGCCGACCUGAGAGGGUGAUCGGCCACACUGGGACUGAGACACGGCCCAGACUCCUACGGGAGGCAGCAGUAGGGAAUCUUCCGCAAUGGACGAAAGUCUGACGGAGCAACGCCGCGUGAGUGAUGAAGGUUUUCGGAUCGUAAAGCUCUGUUGCCAGGGAAGAACGCUUGGGAUAGUAACUGCUCCCAAGGUGACGGUACCUGAGAAGAAAGCCCCGGC
rnacentral:rRNA from 1 species